GCAACUAUUAUAUGAAUUAGCUAUUACAUCGGCUAUAAAUGAUUUGGAGCUGGUAGUGGGCUAUACUAUUAAACUUGCUCUUAAUUGUGUAGGUUUUCCUUGUUUAAUACUCCAUCACAUUGAAGUUAAAAGGGUGUUGCUUAGAGCAAGUUUAAUAAUAUAGCCCACUACUAGCUCCAAAUCUAUAGCCAAUGUAAUAGCCAAUUCAUACAAUAGUUAU
rnacentral:misc_RNA from 1 species